rnacentral:rRNA from 4 species
GUUGACCUCGAAUCAGGUAGGACUACCCGCUGAACUUAAGCA